AGACAGGGGAGCUGAGAGACAUCCGUUUUGAGAAAUUCAGACAUAUAUUAUAUCAGUCCAGACUGGGAUCAGUGAACAUAUGGUCAUUUUACUCUGACUGGCAGUCAACAUGUUGCAGAUCCUCGGCCCAGGAAGUUCUCAGGUUGUAUCUGCUCGGCUGUCCUGCUUUGUGUGUUUAAUGUCACAUCAAUCACGUCUACAAUCCCACAUAUUCAGUGGCUCUUUGCUAAUGAGACAGUGUUCGAGAGGGUUGGGUCGCGCUUUUAUGAGGGUGUGGGAUAUGAAGGACGUGUGGACGUUCCUGAGGGUGAGCUGAGGAAAGGAAACUGUUCUCUGGUGUUGAUGAAUGUCAGUAUUGAUGAUGCAGGAACCUAAAGCAGCUACCUGUUAGUGAGCCGUAAGGCAGUCCGCUCUCCUGACUGGGCUUUGAUCCGACAUUGUGAACUCUCAGUUAAAGAUGAUGCCGGAAGAAACUCUCCUGUCCUGCUGACGAUGUUCCUGUCCCUCCUCUAGUUGUUACAUGUAACGUGUAACACACAUUACAACCAGGAAGUGUCGUGUAUCAUGAAGUAUUAGGAUGUGAAACUAAGCUUACAGUCACACAACAUUUAAAAUCAUUUAUAUUAGUAACAACAGCCACAUUUUAAACACGACUGCUCAUGCUUUACAUUUCACCUUGUGUUAAUAUCAGUCUGUUUAAAUUUUUUCAAACUUGAUAUAAACUCUAGGCUGAUACAUUUACAUCAUUUAGCUGAAGCCCUUAUCCAGAGCGGCUUACAUUUUAUCUUGCUUUUAUACAUCUGAGCAAUUGAGGGUUAAGGCCUUGCUCAGGGGCCCAGCAGUGGCAGCUUGGUGGACGAAGGAAUCAAACUCACAAACUUCCGAUUGGUAGCCCAACACCUUAACCUCUAGGCUACCACAUCCCUGUGUUUAUUCCAGCAGUUCACUAAUGAUCUGAUCCAACAAGCCCCAGCUGGAUAAGAAACUGUACAGUGUGUAUUAAAUGUAAUGAAAUGAGUCAGUUCCUGUUCUCACUUAAGUGGCUGUAAAAGGUAUUUAGUUUUAGUUUCAUUGUGUGUAAGAGUUCGGAAGAAGUAAUGGUUGAGUCAGGAAGUGUUGGAAAAUGUGGGGGAAAAUAUGUUUGUAGAAUGAGUUUAUAGGAGCUCAAGCCAAAAAGGACACACUUACUACUGAAAACAUGAUUAAUAAACAAAAAUAAAUAAAGUUAUUAUAUCUGAAUACAUAACAUAUGUAAAAUGAUGGCAUGACGUUAAGGAAAUUAUUCAUAAGAGAAAUGAUUGAAAACUCGUAAUAAAUUGAAUGAAAACUGA